CACAACGCACAAUAAGUUCGUAACGCAAUUUUGUCCGUGAAAGAGAUGUUGGCACAUACUUGGGUUUAAGGGCUAAAAAUAAAUAAACACAAGAUACGAGGACUUCUCCCUCUAUAUCUCUGUAUUAUUUUCCUGUCGAACGAAGCGCGGAGAAUCCUUACCCUGCACGACCAUUUCGGCGCUACAGCGGAGCCACGUAAAUGCAUGGGCCAAUGGUUCAUUUUCCCGCCCCAGUGCAGCUCCAGUUUUGCAUGGCGGCGCCUCUCCCGCGGUUCAUGGCCUUCGACAUCCCUCAUGUUCGUAAAUGGGAGGCCACUUCAUAAAGACGAAUUUUAGGUGAGAUAAGACUGGAAGGCCUGCUAUGGCACCGUUUGCUUUAAACUGAUAAAGGCAC